GUGGGUUAUGGAGACAUGUACCCCAUGACUGUGGGGGGCAAGAUCGUGGGCUCUCUGUGUGCCAUUGCUGGGGUCCUCACCAUUGCCCUGCCUGUGCCGGUCAUCGUUUCCAAC
rfam:Ictidomys tridecemlineatus contig074573, whole genome shotgun sequence.